AAUAGAUACCCGGGUAGUCCACGCCGUAAACGGUGAGUGCUAAGUGUUAGAGGGUUUCCGCCCUUUAGUGCUGCAGCAAACGCAUUAAGCACUCCGCCUGGGGAGUACGGUCGCAAGACUGAAACUCAAAGGAAUUGACGGGGGCCCGCACAAGCGGUGGAGCAUGUGGUUUAAUUCGAAGCAACGCGAAGAACCUUACCAGGUCUUGACAUCCUCUGACAACCCUAGAGAUAGGGCUUCCCCUUCGGGGGGCAGAGUGACAGGUGGUGCAUGGUUGUCGUCAGCUCGUGUCGUGAGAUGUUGGGUUAAGUCCCGCAACGAGCGCAACCCUUGAUCUUAGUUGCCAGCAUUCAGUUGGGCACUCUAAGGUGACUGCCGGUGACAAACCGGAGGAAGGUGGGGAUGACGUCAAAUCAUCAUGCCCCUUAUGACCUGGGCUACACACGUGCUACAAUGGGCAGAACAAAGGGCAGCGAAGCCGCGAGGCUAAGCCAAUCCCACAAAUCUGUUCUCAGUUCGGAUCGC
rnacentral:rRNA from 1 species